CCUACGGGGGGCAGCAGUGGGGAAUAUUGGACAAUGGGGGGAACCCUGAUCCAGCCAUGCCGCGUGUGUGAAGAAGGCCCUCGGGUUGUAAAGCACUUUCAGUGAGGAAGAACGCCUGGUGGUUAAUACCCAUCAGGAAAGACAUCACCCACAGAAGAAGCACCGGCUAACUCCGUGCCAGCAGCCGCGGUAAUACGGAGGGUGCGAGCGUUAAUCGGAAUUACUGGGCGUAAAGCGCGCGUAGGUGGCUUGAUAAGCCGGUUGUGAAAGCCCCGGGCUCAACCUGGGAACGGCAUCCGGAACUGUCAAGCUAGAGUGCAGGAGAGGAAGGUAGAAUUCCCGGUGUAGCGGUGAAAUGCGUAGAGAUCGGGAGGAAUACCAGUGGCGAAGGCGGCCUUCUGGACUGACACUGACACUGAGGUGCGAAAGCGUGGGUAGCAAACAGGAUUAGAUACCCGAGUAGUC
rnacentral:rRNA from 1 species